CAGGGCUUUUAAAUCUAGGGGUGGUGUAAAAUGCCAAAUAGCCCUAUCAGCCAUGCUGUGACAUUGUUUACAAAAAAAGAAGGCAUCAAAGUGCAUGAAGCACGCAGGUAUCACGUUUAUUUCCUCUAUAUUACUGAAAACUAAGCGCACCGAGGUCGACAACGGCGCAAGCGAUGAAGCUCGCAGUAGAUGCGAAAAAACAACUCCACCAUCCGGCCGGACAAACACCGGGGCAGUUCCAGCGCCAAACGAGGUGGACAGAAAGAACCACGAAAUCACAUCAUCAACAGAAGCAGCAGUAUAUUUAAUUUGACGGAUAAAACAUCACUCUUCCAGUUCCUCAGUCACGAUUGCGGCAACACCACAAGUCAAAACAUUCUGGAGGCCGGCGGAAGAGCCAACACCACAGCAGCAGCCACUACUUCAAUCAUCACCACAAGAAACGAUCCAGUAGCAGCGGCCAGUUCAGUACCAGCCACAAGGUGUCACAUUUUGUUUCUCCCACGGAGGAAGCGUUCUAGGUGCGAAAGUGGCUCAGGUGACGGAGUGACGGAAAAAGGCGGCGGAAACAGGGUGGAUACGAUGGUAACCCUCGUGUUUAAAUUAUGGACAGUACGUUCACACGGCCAUCACACAAGGCUCCGAAAACGAUUCUCCAAAAUCGGAAUCCAACUUGCAUCUUGUAAAGAGAAUUCCGAUGCCCUGCUUGUCGGAUCUCUUAACACAAAAUUUGGCGGCAGAGAUACGUUUCCCGGUUGUUCAACAAUCAGCAGGAACAUUUAAGCAGAGUGUCCAGCUAUCGGAACCGCUGGGAUGUAAUCUGUUCGGAAUUGGGUUUCUCCAGGAACAGAAGAGUUAUUUUCUUAGGAAACACUCGGCCAAGCUGUAUCUGAAGUGUUCGUAUGAUUCCUAAACAGAACUCGAAUAUUCGUUCCAUGAGGUCAUAAUUUUUACUGCUGGCCGCGGUGAAAAUGAGUUUUUUUUAUCACACAUCACACUUAAUCUUUUCUCCUGUGAACGGGACGAUCGAUUCCGUCCUGUAUUUUCAACAGCUGAAAUUACAGGACGAUUUCCGGAUAGAAAAAGUGUACAGGAAAACAACUGUCAAAUUUUCCUGUAGUCUCGAAACGGUGUUCUCCUAUGAUAUAAAUUUUGAAAAUUUAAGACGGGUUUCUCCCGAAAUUCGUAAGAAAUUUUAAAUUCCAUCCUCCUAGUCCCUUUCUUUCAAAUCAAUCAAAAAUUCUAGUUUCAAAUGAAAAGAUGAGUUUAAUAUAAAAAACGAAUAAUUUAUGCAUACAUACAUAUUUCACUUAUCAUUUAAACACUAAAGUAUACUGUGUAAAUCAUAGUCGACGGUCAAACUAGCCAAAGGUCGGUGGUGAUUUGGUUGAUGAUGAUUGAGCCCUUGAUUACCAGUUGGAGAGCACCUCUACUCUGGCAUCCUGACCUGCGUUUGUCUAGUUUUUUUUUGCGGGAUUUUCAUCCCGUAGAAUGGGUUUCCCCUGACUGUCUGGCCGAUAGGUUUGCCGGUAAUGUUUGCUUCACUUUUCUGCAACACAUCGUCAAUCACCAUGCGAAAGCCGUAGGUUUAGCCUAAAUUGAAAAAUGUGCGUCAAAAUAAAUACUAUAAAAUAUUCUCAUCAAAACUUACGAAAUAUUUUUAAUCCACUCAAUCCGCACCCGCAUCGGUUUCCUCCUUCGAAGCAUGUUGCGCAGCGUGUAGAACUUAAACUCGAACCAGGUUGAUUUAAGGGACCGUAGAGCUACGAAUUUGUUUCGUGUAUGUGCUGUGCUGUCGAAAAAAACAUCAAUUUCAUCGAGACAUACAAAAAUAUCAUCUAAUUUUAGCAAGAAUGAUUCAGUCAACUUACUUCUAGCACCAUUUUCUCUUCUGAGGAAUAGCCCUUCGAUUUUAGAGGCCUCAGAAUAAGCUGUUGUGUUACAGUAGCGCAUCCGUCACACGUAAUU